GCUUGUCUCAAAGAUUAAGCCAUGCAUGUCUAAGUAUAAACGAAUUUAUACUGUGAAACUGCGAAUGGCUCAUUACAUCAGUUAUAGUUUAUUUGAUGGUCCUUGCUACUUGGAUAACCGUAGUAAUUCUAGAGCUAAUACAUGCUGGCGUGCCCGACUUUUGCGGAAGGGCGGUAUUUAUUAGAUAACAAGCCAAUAUUCCUCCGGGUCUAUUGUGGUGAUUCAUAAUAACUGAUCGAAUCGCAAGGCCUUUGGCCGCGAUAAGUCAUUCAAGUUUCUGCCCCAUCAGCUUUCGAUGGUAGUGUAUUGGACUACCAUGGCGUUCACGGGUAACGGAGAAUUAGGGUUCGAUUCCGGAGAGGGAGCCUGAGAAACGGCUACCACAUCUAAGGAAGGCAGCAGG
rnacentral:rRNA from 1 species